AGUUAAUUUCUUUACUUCAUGUACCUUAUGCUUCUACUUACUAAUCUUGUUUUGGCUUCUGUAGCAUCCCAUGACACUGGGAGUACGGCCCUUUUAUCUCUGGUAGCUGGAUCCGUGGACCAGAGCAGAUUUUACGGAUUAAGUUACAAGCGCAAGCUUAGAGACGGGUUUCGGAAGAGAAAACAGAAUGGGAUCUUGCAAAGGAGUGUUGCAUCGGUACCAAUUAGUCUAUAAGCGGAGACGAAUCUUAGCUGGCAGAGAUUGAAGCAUCGAAGAUAGUUUCUUCUCUUGAACGGGGACAUCCACACAUUUCCUUUAGUUUCGUUUAUAGAGUGUACAGAUUCUUUUAAUUCCUUCCGCAGCUUUUUGCUGCGAGUGCCAAAGUAGAAUUGGGCAAAAGCUGAGUUUUUAGGUUUUUGUUCCGGUUGAUCUAUGUGCUAACCCAUGCUCACUGAACAUGUAAAUUGGACUGAGAAAGUUAAAUGCAAAUCAAGUUUUGAAUUC